GAUAGGCCAGCGUUGUCUUUAGAAAGUGGUAGAACCACAUGCUCAUAAUAGCCUCACUCGGUGGUCUAUUGAGCUGUCAGGACCUGAGUUGCCAUUAUAUGUGUUCCAUCUUUAUUUCACCUCAGGGAUUUUUGGUUUCUAAUUGAACUUCAAGCUCAAGAAUUGGCUAAAUUAAGGCAGAAGUUGGAGGAAGGGAGACAUACUAUCUCCACACUCCAUCAGAUUCUCAGCAGUCUCCUCACUGAAGAUGAGCAACCCAGAUGCCAGAUGAAGAGUGACAGAUACAGACUUGAUGAGAUGUGCAAGCUGACCAAGUACCUUGCCAACAGACUUAGGCCAGAUAAUCUAGAUGAUGAGGAUGAGGAUGAUGAAAUGAGUCUGGAUUCCAGUAGCAGCAUUUUGUGUGCAGAGGAAGAAAAUGAACUUGGGCUAGAUUCACUAGAUGAAAACUAUUUGCUCCUUUCCUGUCAUCCUGCUGAGGCUGAGCC